AUGAACGCUGGCGGCGUGCCUAACACAUGCAAGUUGAACGUGAAAGCUUCCUUCGGGAAGCAAGUAGAGUAGCAGACGGGUGAGUAAUGCAUAGGUAAUCUACCCUUGAGUGGGGGACAACUUACCGAAAGGUGAGCUAAUCCCGCAUAAUGUCCUAUUAUAUAAAUAUGUGGACCAAAGGGGGGGAUUCUUCGGAACCUCCUGCUUGAGGAUGAGCUUAUGUCCUAUUAGCUAGUUGGUGGGGUAAAAGCCUACCAAGGCAAUGAUGGGUAGCCGAGCUGAGAGGCUGAUCGGCCACACUGGAACUGAGACACGGUCCAGACUCCUACGGGAGGCAGCAGUGGGGAAUUUUGCGCAAUGGGCGAAAGCCUGACGCAGCGACGCCGCGUGAGGGAUGAAGGUCUUCGUGAUCGUAAACCUCUGUCAGGAAGGAUUAAAUGCACUAGUGCCAAUACCAUUAGUGCUUGACUUAACUUCCAGAGGAAGCCCCGGCUAACUACGUGCCAGCAGCCGCGGUAAU
rnacentral:rRNA from 1 species